UAAAUUGAGAGUUUGAUCCUGGCUCAGGACGAACGCUGGCGGCGUGCCUAACACAUGCAAGUCGAGCGAUGAUUCGCCUCUUCGGAGGCGUUAAU
rnacentral:rRNA from 1 species